GGUGGUGCAUGGCCGUUCUUAGUUGGUGGAGUGAUUUGUCUGGUUAAUUCCGAUAACGAACGAGACUCUAGCCUGCUAAUUAGAAGACCGAUUGCUUCCAGAGAGGACAUGGCAUCGCAGCGUGGGAUUAUAAUGCCUUUCAGUUGCUUCUUAGAGGGAUAAACGGCUGGAAGCCGUACGAAAUAGAGCGAUAACAGGUCUGUGAUGCCCUUAGAUAUCCGGGGCCGCACGCGCGCUACACUGAAAGAAUCAGCGUGCCCAACCCUAGUCCGAGAGGAAAGGGGAAAUCCGCUGAACCUCUUUCGUGAUUGGGAUCGGGGUUUGGAAUUGUCCCCCGUGAACGAGGAAUUCCCAGUAAGCGCGAGUCAUAAGCUUGCGUUGAUUACGUCCCUGCCCUUUGUACACACCGCCCGUCGCU
rnacentral:rRNA from 1 species